rnacentral:lncRNA from 1 species
CCACACACACACAAUUUUAAGUAAAAGGGGCUAAAAUUACCCUAUUCUAGCUCCCACCUACACUUUUUACAACAUUAAAAACAAACAAACAUCAAUAGUAAAUUCAGACAAUUCCUCUCAUCCUCAAGAGGACACUGCUGGCUUGUUAGACACAUAGUGUGUGAUUAUCAAAAUGAAAAUUUAAAAAAAGAUUUUCAAAAGGUGGUUGAUCCUAGUCUAAGUUCUAAAAUCCUAAGACUAGUUAAAAGUUAGCAGUAACAAAAACUUGGGACAUCCUCAUGCCCAUGUCACAAAUAUUUCUAUAACAUCUACAAGUUAAUAGGAGUAGCUUAAGUUGGAGGGAUUAGCCAUUUCAAGAUCCACAUUAAGGUGAAGUUGAAAAGACUACAAGUUGGAAAAUUCUUGAAUUUACAGUUUUUUUAAAACUAAAACUAACUCGGGAGAUUUUAGUUGAGCCCUUCACAGGCAAAAUCUUAAAACAAUUUGCUCAGCUUUUUCCAGUGCUAAGCUUUUAUAAAAAAGAAAGAUAAAAGAUGAUGCCCAACUCAGCUCUUUUGAUAGCUUGAGUUGGUGAUGAUGAUGAGAUGCAUAUGCAUGCUUUGUUUCUCUCUUGAAGGACCCUUUCCUUACAAGAGAAGAAAUUAAUUGUAUGGAGAAUUUUUACUCCACAGUUUUGAACGUACCCCUUUGGGGGGCCUUAAGCUUCUGGAAAAAGCCCGUGUUCCAUACGCGGGCCUCCAUUUGACAAAGACAAAGAUGCAAGAGAACCAUGGUUAGGCCAAAGAUCCUUCAGUAUUUUUUUCAAGGUACCAUUGUAGAUAAUCAAUGUCGUAUCGAUCUUUCUUGACCAGUUGACAACUACACGAUCUCUCUUAACGAUGAGGUAUUGGUGCACGCAGCGUCAUUGUCACGCCUGUGGCACAGCAAAACAAACUGUCAAAGAUAUUAGUACCUCCUUCCCAUCAGAAAUCAGUAGUAGCGCAAUUAAAAAAAAGGGACGAUGCACUAUGCUCCCUCUAUGCGCAUGGUCCGGGGAAGGGCCGGGCCACAAUUAAAUUAAUAAAAAAAGGAGGGAUGGAUGGGAUUGGAGGAAAUUCAAAACGAGGAAUUAGCUACUAGCAGUUAGAAUUCCAUUCAAAGAUGUACUUUAUUUCCUUCAAUUAUCAGUUAUCACAUAGAAAGGCAUUAAUGAAACAAAUAAGAAACCAGAUGAUAUUAAUUGUUGGUAGACCAUAAUUUGAUGGCGAGCUUUAAGUUUGUUGACAGUUGGGUGUAUUGAUAUUGUAGUCAAAAACCGUUGAGAUUUCAAUGAUAGCUUGAAAAUGGGGCUUCUUUGUGAUGUAGAGGGCUUUUCUUAGCUGUAGUCUUAAAUACAAACUAAUAAAAUUGACUCUGACUUGGAAUUUAUUUCAAGUAACAAGCAGGUAAAGUGAAAAUGAUAAAUUUCCAGACAUGAAGCAAAAUAAAUUUAGGAUUUAUUUUCAAAACUCAUAUUUGACAAUAAAUUUUGCCCACAUUUUAGCAAAAUUCCAAAACUUAGAAAUUAUAUACAUGUUUUGCCAAAAUAAAGUUGGGAAAUAUGUUUUCAAAACGUAUGUCCAAACACAUUUUUAUCUUAAAAUCAAACUUUACACAAAUCAGAUUUUUCAAAAUAAAUUUGGGAUCUAUUGCCAAACGGUAGCUAAAAGGGCAAGGGCUUUGAGAAAGUGUUGGUUCUCUUUUCCAAGGCCUAAGCUUUUGGCUGAACACCACAUAUUCUUUCCCAAGAAUUACUUCUUCGAUUGAUUUUAUUUUGUAUACACCUAGUUUAACACAGAAGAAAGACUUUCCACAAAUAUCAAAAGUACUUAAAACUCAUGGUAUUAAACAAAGUAAAAAUUAAAGAGAAGAUUUGAUUGGGUGUGAUAUACAAACCUGAAUGCAGUGCGGGUGAGGGAGCGAGGGAAAUGGGGGUACCAUAGUGCUGUGCUGGAUAACCCCCGCCAGUGGAGUUGAUAGCAGCAGCUGAAUACUGGAAGAGAUGGUGUGGGUACUGAACCCCGCCGUACCCCUGGCUGGCGGCUUUAUAGCCAGUGGUUGCUCCACCGUUUCCUUCUCCAAAAUUCAGGUAAGGGUAAAAGGCAGCAGCUGCACUGGAUAACACACCACUUGCCGCAGUGCCAUACACAGGAUAUUGGCUAGCU